rnacentral:lncRNA from 1 species
GGUGUUUCAGAUAUGCAAGGCCUCAAAAAUGUUCCUCCUAUCUCUUCCUAGGAAGCUAGUGGAGGACCUGCACCAACAAAAGCAAAGAGUAAAUCAGGAGAGUGGACAACAUGGGAAUAACUGCAUGGAGCUCAGUCUGGAAAGAUAAGGAAACUAUGAGUCAAGGAGGUCAAGUGACUUGCUCAAGAUCAAAAGCUAUGCCUUGAGGAGACUUUUAUUUGGCAGCUGUUGCUAGAAGCCCUCAGCAUCCCAAGACACUUCUGUAAGCCAUCUCAUCCCUACCACUUGGGAGCUUUUUCUUUUUAAUUGUAGUAACAUCUAUCUAUAUGACAUG